GACGGAGGGGGCUAGUGUUGUUCGGAAUCACUGGGCGUAAAGCGCGCGUAGGCGGUCUUUUAAGUCGGGCGUGAAAGCCCGGGGCUUAACCCCGGAACUGCGCUCGAAACUGGAGGACUGGAGUCCGGGAGAGGUGAGUGGAACUCCCAGUGUAGAGGUGAAAUUCGUAGAUAUUGGGAAGAACACCAGUGGCGAAGGCGGCUCACUGGACCGGUACUGACGCUGAGGCGCGAAAGCGUGGGGAGCAAACAGG
rnacentral:rRNA from 1 species